rnacentral:rRNA from 1 species
GUGGGGAAUAUUGGACAAUGGGCGAAAGCCUGAUCCAGCCAUGCCGCGUGUGUGAAGAAGGUCUUCGGAUUGUAAAGCACUUUAAGUUGGGAGGAAGGGCAUUAACCUAAUACGUUAGUGUUUUGACGUUACCGACAGAAUAAGCACCGGCUAACUUCGUGCCAGCAGCCGCGGUAAUACGAAGGGUGCAAGCGUUACUCGGAAUUACUGGGCGUAAAGCGCGCGUAGGUGGUUCGUUAAGUUGGAUGUGAAAGCCCCGGGCUCAACCUGGGAACUGCAUCCAAAACUGGCGAGCUAGAGUACGGUAGAGGGUGGUGGAAUUUCCUGUGUAGCGGUGAAAUGCGUAGAUAUAGGAAGGAACACCAGUGGCGAAGGCGACAACCUGGACUGAUACUGACACUGAGGUGCGAAAGCGUGGGGAGCAAACAGGAUUAGAUACCCCAGUAGUCC